UACGUAGGGUGCGAGCGUUAAUCGGAAUUACUGGGCGUAAAGCGUGCGCAGGCGGUUCGUUGUGUCGGCGGUGAAAGCCCCGGGCUCAACCUGGGAAUGGCCGUUGAAACUGGCGAACUGGAGUGUGGCAGAGGGGGGUGGAAUUCCGCGUGUAGCAGUGAAAUUCGUAGAUAUCAGGUGGAACACCAGUGGCGAAGGCGGCUUUCUGGACGGUAACUGACGCUGAGGCGCGAAAGCGUGGGGAGCAAACAGG
rnacentral:rRNA from 1 species